UGUAAGGAAACCCAAACCAGCCCAAGUGAAGAGACCACACGGAGAAGUCAUGCACAGGUGUCUUUCUGAUGGCCCAGCUGCGGCAGCAGCUGCCAGGCACACAAGUGAAGACUCUCUGACCGAGGCCAGCACCCCAGCCACCAAGUCACCCUCAGCCUCCAGGCUGUCCCAGCUGAGGCCCCAGACACUGUGGAGCAGACACAAGCUGUCCUGCUAUGCCCUGUCUGCAUUCCUGACCACAGGAUCUGAGCGAUAUCAUUCCAGCAUAACACAUGCCGCAUGGCAGCGUCUGUAAAGAAAGGGCCUUGUCACCUGCCCCUACUCGCAUAUGUUACCUCGCCUCGCCUGCCUAACCCUGAAGACCUGCCUGCAAGGAGUAAGCAAAACCCUGGAAAUACCUCCGUGACUAUCACCAGAAAACUUGUUAGAUAAAUUAUUAUAUUCGGACAAUGGAAUGUGCGAAGAAUGCUCUCCUAGUGCUGAUCUGGAAAGAUCUGGCAAGUUUUUUUCAGCUGUGAAAUGGAGGCGAUGCUGCUUACCUGGCAGAGAGGAGGUGGAAAUUAAAUGAAGUAACCCGCAGAGAGUCUCUCCAGGACCGCCAUGUUGCACAACUUCAGGGGCCCCAUUCAUGAAAUUGUGCAAGGCAGCGGAACCCCUAACAGGUGACUGUCUUUAUCAUCACUCCCUCAAACGCCGAGUUUCCUUCUGUACUCCCCUAGAGCGAUUCUGAAGCCGGGUCUUCCAGAGUGCAGACCAAGUACCAGUGGGGAUUCGUGGGGAGAUCUUGGUGGGCACAGCACCCCAGUAUGGAAUAACAUUUCAUUCUCUGUCAAUCAUUCUGAUCGCAUCUAGGCGGCAGUCUCAGUUUGAUAGGAACACAACAUUAACGCCUUUCUAACACUCACCUGCCUCCCUUCCGAACUUCCUGUUUGAGAGUGGGCCUCAGACUUAGUGCCUUCAGAAGGCAAAAUGAUUUGGCUAGAAUUUAAUAAAGUUACAUGUUUUCAUAAUA